rnacentral:rRNA from 1 species
GUAGGGAAUAUUGGGCAAUGGAUGCAAGUCUGACCCAGCCAUCCCGCGUGCCGGAAGAAGGCCCUCAGGGUUGUAAACGGCUUUUGACGGUGAAGAACCGACAGGAUGCGUCCUGUUUUGACGGUAGCCGUUGAAUAAGCACCGGCUAACUCCGUGCCAGCAGCCGCGGUAAUACGGAGGGUGCGAGCGUUGUCCGGAUUUAUUGGGUUUAAAGGGUGCGUAGGCUGGAAGGUCAGUCAGCGGUGAAAAGCUAUCUGUUAACGAUAGUCUUGCCGCAGAUACUUCCAUUCGUGGAUGAGGAGGAGGCGACUGGAACGGAUGGUGUAGCGGUGAAAUGCAUAGAUAUCAUCCAGAACACCGAUUGCGAAGGCAGGUGGCUGUACCUUAAUCGACGCUGAUGCACGAAAGCAUGGGGAGCAAACAGGAUUAGAAACCCGGGUAGUCCC